GCAACUGUUCCUCAAAGAGCCUUAGAAGCAUCUUCUGUUGUGGCCAUGCAAAUUGUAAAAUGCUAACAUUCAGACACCAUUGGUGAGUCCCUUCUGCUCCCAACAGCAAUAGAAGUCUAGAAUUGUGAUUGAAGCGCAAGCGACCAUGGCACUGAAAACCAUUUCGAUGUCAAACUAAGACGCAGAAGACAGAGAGGGCAUCAAUUGUUAGAGAGCACAGUGACCAGAGAUCACAUGCAUACCCAACAAGCAAGGUUGACAGAUACUGUAGAUAGAUACUGAGCUAACCUACCAGGUCAACUAAAUUCUCCACUCAAAUGGUUGCCAUUGUUUCCCUGACUUGAAAUUCUCCAAUAGCACCCUGGCCCCCACUUUGGACAUCAGGUCACAUAUUGAUGUUACUUGGACACAGAGAUGAACAGAUUAAUAGUCAGCUCACAGGAAUUGUGGCACUGCGGACAGCCUAAUACAUGCUGCUUUUCACACAGACU